ACAGUACAUACUCAUUUUUUUUCUCUUUCACCACCAGGUCAUUAGUUUGGAACUGUCAACUGGAAUUCCCAUGCUUUACAUUUUCAAAGAGGGAAGAUUCAUUAGGAGGGGAAGUCCCACAAGGCCUUCUGAAGCUGGAGUUUAUGCCUAUACAAAGCGUUUGGCUCUUUACAAGCAGAAGUUGGAUGACAUGUUCCAAUGAUAUAUUGUUUAGGAAAUACAUACACACAUUUAAUCAGAAAUGUCACAGUUGAAUCACAAAGGGGGACAUAUUUUCGGUGGCUCUGUUAGGUCAACAAUAUUUCCAGUUGUCCUAAAGCUAGGUUGUUUUCAAUGUGUUAGUAGUACAGUU